rnacentral:tRNA from 1 species
GGUUAUGGCUCAGUGGUAGAGCACUUUGCUAGUGCUGUGAGGUACUGGGUUCAAUCCUCAGCACCA